AAUCCAGCCCUGAGCUCCGCCACCCACUGAUCCCACCGUUGCUACAGGCACCAUGUAGCCCAGCCGGGCCGUCCACCCAACGUCGAAGCGCCCCGCGAGGCCUCAGCCAGACUCCUUCACCACCGGAGCCGAAGCGUUCAGUGGGCCUCCGCCGGAUUCCUCCUCGGUCGGGUCGCUCUCACCCACGGAUGCCCUUUCCACUGCUAUUUCUGAUGAAACACGCAACAAACGAAAGGUUGUCCUAGCUUUUGCAAUAUAUACUUAUGGAAACACAGGAGGUAGUUGGACGUUUUGUUGGUAUUUUCCAUCUUAUAUGUGUAGUCUAGAAAAAAAUAUUUUCCUUGUUUAAGAACUUGGUGAAAGGUAGAUACUAGGGGUACUGCAAAGGCAACACGGUAAGAAAGACAUACCUCUGAAUGUGCCUGAAUAUAUGCAGAAAGAAAUUCACCAGCCUGGGAAAUUAUAUCAAUAAGCAGCGCUGUACAGUCCACUAGUGCUCUCUUUUCCUCCAGCUGCUUCCGUGAAUUUCCAUUUUGAGAUUUCUCCCAUCUAAGGGCAAUAGAGCUUCUAAAUAUACGAUGCAUCAGAAUACUAAAUCCAUCCUGCUUAACAUUGCCGUUUAUUUUGGAUGAACAUUCCCCACGGAUCUGUUCUUGAGCUGCCAGUAAUAAAACUGCGGACUGUAUAAGCUUGCCAUCCUCCAUGUACUUCCAAAGCUCAUCAACUAGAUUAUCUGUUUUUGUUGCAAGCAGUCUAGUUGUAUCCAAGAAGAUCUUCUGUAAAAACACAUCAAGGAACGAAACUUAAAUGUCUUUUCGCCACCCAUAUGCAAGCAAGCAAUACUGACUAACUUCAUAUUUGUUACCUUGUUUCCUCCAACCAAACUAACUAUGGAUUAGGAUUAGUUGAUAUACUUGAAAGAAAUAUUCACUUGCUGACUAUCCUUAAACUAAAUAUAAGAAUAUGCUCUACAGCAUAAAUACAUACAAAAGAUAGCACACCAGAGAUGUUCCAUCUCUGACAAGCAGAUAUCAUUAUAACUGAUUUGUGUUCUACGACAUGGGACUCUCUUUAAAAUAAAUAUAAGGAUAUGCUAUGCUAACACAUAAAUACAUAACAAAAGAUAGCAAAGGAGAGCAGUUCCAUCUCUGAAAAGUAGAUAUCAUUAUAACUGAUUUUUUGUUCUAUGACAUGACCAGAACUACCUUUUAUAUCAAUUAUGCAGUGAGAAUGGUAUUUGACUAUGUGUAGAGGGAAGUGGAACAAACCAUUUCAGGUAGACACAGAAGAUGGAUAAGCUUGUAGAUAUAAUUCUGAUGAUUCUGAAUAGGAUAUAGAUUGUCCUCUAUAUACUUAUGCAGGCAAGUAUUCUCAACUGCAACAUGAAGUGGGAGUAGGUCCUCAAUUAUGUUAGCACCAAUGGUGCGUACAUUGGCAGAUGCACCGUGACGGAAGAGUAACUUGAUCAUGUCAACAGAGAAUCUUUCAGCAGCUUCAUGGAGAGGGAAGUAUCCGUACGGGUUAAUGCAGUUUGGAUUGGCAUGCAUCCCAUUGAGCUCAGGUACCUUGCACUCCAAUGCAACUUUCACACAUCGUAGCGCAUUAUGACUGACCAUGUGGAUUAAUGUUUGUGCAGUGAUGGCAAAAUCCCAUGACAUUUCCUAGCUUCUUGACAAAUAAGCGGAGGAAGCUCCGGACGCUAUCCUUUUCUAGGAUGGGCCCCAACUCGGAAGUUAUAUCAUAAAAUUCAUCACGCACCCACUAGAUACAUCCAUGCACAAUUGAAAAAGGUGAAAAGCAAUCAGUUAUCACUUUAACAGAGCAAAGCACAAAGGUCUUGUGGAUGUGCAUUUGUGACAAUAAUAGAUACACUUUUCAGCAGUCAAAACUUAAAUGCCCCGUAAUACUACAUAUUUGAAAUGAAAUAACCGAAGGACAGCUGAGUUCUGCAAUUUAAACCUUGGGAGUAGGGUCUGGGAUGGUUAUAUCAUUUGGUCUGGACUUGGCAAUCAAAAAAGCAGGACGAAAAACCUAAAAGAGGGAAAUAUCAAAGAGUCAGGGGAGAAAAUAGAAGGGCAGAGGAAGAUUAUACUGAUGAGUAGUUGCAAUACCUCCUAAACCUUCGCAAGAUCCACAUCUCCAGGGACUUUAACAGAAGGGCAAGGAUGCCACACAUUCUCAGAAAAAGCCUUAGGUUUCAAUUCCAUUGUUCUUUUGUCUAAAACAAGUUCAGUCUCAAGUAAGUCCCCACACUAUAUUAUAAUUUCAUAUUUUCAGCAAUAUAGUGUAAUAAAAACAAUGAUCCUCAAGAUCAUGAGCAUGAAUACAAAAAAAGGGCCUUAUAUUAAAAAAUGAAACACGCAUCACUCAAACAUAUAUUCAGUAAACGGAGAAUACUAUACUUGCUCCACAUAUGUGGAUGAUAACAGCGUUAUUGUCUGGGCGCAGGCGCUGCGAGGAAGAUCGGCGGUUCACAGCAACCAGCUCCACCGAUGAAUCUCCGCAAACGCGCUGAGAGAGAGCGGCGAGAGAUGGAGGAGCUGAAAAAAGUAAAUCUCACCGGCUCCUUCUCCCUUCUCACGCGGGAUGGACGCCGCUGCCCCUAGAUCCAUGCGCUGCGGCUCCUCCUCCCUCCUCACGCGCGUAGCCGGCGACGGAGAAGCAGCCUGGUGGCCAGGAAAGACGGAGGGAGGCGGGGUGGCGAUGAGAGGCGAGACGGCGCGGGAUACCGCGAUACCGUUCAUCAGGCAUCCAACGGCAACACACAGGAAGAUGCUUUGCUCUGGUUUGGGCCAAAAACGUGGUGUCCGGCCUGCUUCCUAAGGCCUAUUUGCAUAUGAACCUGAGGGGUAAAAAACACGCGAGACUGACGGGGAAAGGUGCCAGGACGACGAAAACGGCGCGAGACAGACGGAAAAGGGUGGGAGAUCGACGGAAAAGGGCAGGAGGAGCCAUUGACUGUCGCCUCGCCGGACGCCUUGCCGGACAGGAGAAGCUUCCCUGCACUGUGAUCUUGUGUGUCAUGUGCAGUAGUUGCCUUCCUUUUGCGAUGGUGAAUACUGGCAGCCCCUAUUGCACUACCGUUGGUGGUACAACACCUGGGUGGGCAAACCCCCCUUCCAGCCGUGGCCUGGCUCUUCGGCGGCGGUGGCGGCGAUGAGCGAGCUGCGAUACGGUGUUGUGGGCGGCUGCGGCGGCGAGACGACACCAGCAUCAACAUUAUUUUUUUCUUUUAUGUGUAUAGCAAAUAGACUUGUAGUAAUAGUAAUCUGGGCUAUUUGGUUAUGGGCCGGACGACCAUCAUGGCUAAACGUAUGGUCCAAUUUGCUUGUU